rnacentral:lncRNA from 1 species
GCCACUACUGUACUAGGGGAAGCAGUUCAUAACAAGGCAAAAAUGCUCAGAAGGGCACAAAAGGGGAGGGGGUCUGAUUUUCAAUUGACAAAUACAGGGAGGAUACAAUUUGAGGAGGGGAGAGGAAGCAAAAAAGCUUCCUUCACAAAACUACCCAGAAACCCCAGUGAACCGAAACCACCCUCGCAAAAGAGGAACCAUUUCCCAGUCCUUGUCCAGUAGCAUUUCAUCAUAACAAGUCCCUGAUAGAACCCCAACACCGCACCCUUGCACGCCCCACACCCAACAUAGGCCCUGACAAAUACCACCCUUGUGCACUAGCCAUAUCAUCAGCCCUUGCCUGCUCCAUCACCAACUUAGCAACUUCAGAACCCUGUCUAGUCGCCUCAACCACCAAGGUUCGCUUUCACAUAAAAAACUACCCAGAAGUCCCCACAACCAAAGAACCAUGGUCUUGCUCAAGCCACGGACCCAGCUUUUCCACAACCAAAUUGCCCCACCCUUUAAGCAACUAAUGCCUGGCAAAGAAUCGCCCUAAGCACCCAACAUUCACAACCUUAAAAACCAAGAUCUUACGAACAGCACCCAUUUCCCUGCAAGCACCUCACUUCCUUCACCAGCAAUAAUAGCCCUUUUCUUUCACAGAUAGCCUUCACCCGUACCACACCCGACCUUUACCCACACAGUCCUAGCAAUUCUAAGCCACCGGCCAACCCCUCCAUUGCACUAAGGCCAGCAUCACCCCCUAAACAGCAACACCAAGCACCAACAACACCCCAACGUUCACAAAACCUAGUCAGCCAAGACCUAAGCACCAAUUUCUCCACCUAGCCCCAGCAACUCCAAAGACCCCAACCUUCGCUCGGAAGAACCAGCCCUAACACCACCAUCAACAGCCCACACUACCCCUAUUUUAAACACCUAAACAACACACCAUAAACCCUUGACCGACCCUACUGCCAAACACCACAACCCUCAUACACCACCCCAUCAACCAACUGUACUACCCGAAAAAAAAAAACCAUAGACCCAUCAAGCAACUUCUACAAACUAAAGCCUAUGAUCGCCUUAUUCCCAAACACCCCAAAAACUGGCCUCUGACCCACUAGUACCUACCAAAAAAACCAACAACCAGAAAAAAAAAUACCAAACCACCAAAAUCACUAGAAGAUAAAAAAAAUUCAGUCCUUCCCGAAGGGAAAAACCUCAACGCCAAAGCCAUCCCACAAAGAAGACAAAAAGAAGACAAAAAAAUCAGUUUUAUUUAAAAAAAAGGAAAAACGAAGCCAUCCACUUUUUCGUUCAUGACAAGCAACGUCAGAGGAAGAGCUAAGGGGCAUCGAAGGCAUUGAGGGUGGCUAGCAAUGGCGAAGGUAGCGCCUGGGAUCGACGACUAAAGGAAUUUCUUAGUUAGGGCCACCAAACCAGAAAAGAGAAGGAAGAAACGGGGUGGAAAGGAAAGAAGAAAAGAAAACAAAGAGAGGAAAAGAGCUUCAACAGCCGGUAAUAAUCGAUUGAAUGGUAGUAAUGGCAUAAGGCUAGCGGCAAUCGAUGAGAGUUAUGUGGAAAACUUUUGGUUUUCUUGGGAGAUGAGAUUUUUUUAAGGAGAUG